rnacentral:rRNA from 1 species
GACGAACGCUGGCGGCGUGCUUAACACAUGCAAGUCGAACGGUGACGCUCUAGCUUGCUGGUGUUGCUGAGUGGCGGACGGGUGAGUAACACGUGUGCAACCUGCCCUACACUCUGGAAUAAGCGCUGGAAGCGGCACCUACUCCAGGAUACGAGACGAGCUCGCGUGGGCAGCUUCUGGACUGUUGUGCUGUUGGGGAUGGGCUAGCGGGUUAUGAGCUUGUUGGUUGGGUAAGGGCUGACCAAGUAGACGAAUGGUAGGCAGCAGGAGAGGGAGACCGGCCACACUGGGACUGAGACAGGGCCCAGACUCCUACGGGAGGCAGCAGUGGGGAAUAUUGCACAAUGGUAGAGAGCGUGAUGCAGCGACGCCGCGUGAGGGAAGACGGCCUUCGGGGUGUAAACCGCUGUCAGCAGGGAAGAAGCGAUAGUGACGGUACCUGCAGAAGAAGCACCGGCUAACUACGUG